GAUCAUGGCUCAGGAUGAACGCUAGCGACUGGCUUAACACAUGCAAGUCGAGGGGCAGCAUGAGGUAGCAAUACCUUGAUGGCGACCGGCGCACGGGUGAGUAACGCGUAUGCAACCUGCCCGAUACCGGGGUAUAGCCCAUGGAAACGUGGAUUAACACCCCAUAGUACUUUUAUCCUGCCUGGGAUGGGAGUUAAAUGUUCAAGGUAUCGGAUGGGCAUGCGUCCUAUUAGUUAG
rnacentral:rRNA from 1 species